AUUGAACGCUGGCGGCAGGCCUAACACAUGCCAGUCGAACGGUAACAGGAAGCAGCUUGCUGCUUUGCUGACGAGUGGCGGACGGGUGAGUAAUGUCUGGGAAACUGCCCGAUGGAGGGGGAUAACUACUGGAAACGGUAGCUAAUACCGCAUAACGUCGCAAGACCAAAGAGGGGGACCUUAGGGCCUCUUGCCAUCGGAUGUGCCCAGAUGGGAUUAGCUAGUAGGUGGGGUAACGGCUCACCUAGGCGACGAUCCCUAGCUGGUCUGAGAGGAUGACCAGCCACACUGGAACUGAGACACGGUCCAGACUCCUACGGGAGGCAGCAGUGGGGAAUAUUGCACAAUGGGCGCAAGCCUGAUGCAGCCAUGCCGCGUGUAUGAAGAAGGCCUUCGGGUUGUAAAGUACUUUCAGCGGGGAGGAAGGGAGUAAAGUUAAUACCUUUGCUCAUUGACGUUACCCGCAGAAGAAGCGCCGGCUAACUCCGUG
rnacentral:rRNA from 1 species